rnacentral:rRNA from 1 species
AUUGAACGCUAGCGGGAGGCAUAACACAUGCAAGUCGAACGAGGGGCAGACGGGUGAGUAAUGUAUCGGGACCUGCACGAUAGAGGGGGAUAACUAAUGGAAAGAGUGGCUAAUACCGCAUACUAAUGGAUCAGCCGAUAUCGGAUUAGCUAGUAGGUGGGGUAAAGGCUCACCAAGGCGACGAUCCAUAGCUGGUUUGAGAGGAUGAUCAGCCACACUGGGAUUGAGACACGGCCCAGACUCCUACGGGAGGCAGCAGUGGGGAAGAUUGCACAAUGGGGGAAACCCUGAUCCAGCCAUCCCGCUUGUAUGAGAAGGCCUUAGGGUUGUAAAGUACUUUCGGCAGGGAAGCGGUACCCGCAGAAUAAGCACCGGCUAACUCCGUGCCAGCAGCCGCGGUAAUUC